GACGAACGCUGGCGGCGUGCUUAACACAUGCAAGUCGAACGGUGAAGCGCCUUCCUUUUUGGUGGGUGUGGAUGAGUGGCGAACGGGUGAGUAACACGUGAGUAACCUGCCCCCUUCUUCUGGAUAACCGCAUGAAAGUGUGGCUAAUACGGGAUAUUCUGGGUCUGUCGCAUGAUGGGUCUGGGUAAGAUAUUGGUUCGGUGGGGGAUGGGCUCGCGGCCUAUCAGCUUGUUGGUGGGGUGAUGGCCUACCAAGGCGGGGAGGGGUCGCCGGCCUGAGAGGGUGGACGGCCACACUGGGACUGAGACACGGCCCAGACUCCUACGGGAGCCAGCAGUGGGGGAUAGUGCACAGUGGGCGCAAGCCUGAUGCAGCGACACCGCGUGAGGGAUGGAGGCCUUCGGGUUGUGAACCUCUUUGGCCAGUGAAGCAGGCCUGCCUCGUUUGUGGGUGGGUUGACGGUAGCUGGAUAAGAAGCGCCGGCUAACUACGUG
rnacentral:rRNA from 1 species